rnacentral:rRNA from 1 species
ACUCAAAUGAAUUGACGGGGGCCCGCACAAGCGGAGGAACAUGUGGUUUAAUUCGAUGAUACGCGAGGAACCUUACCCGGGCUUGAAAUGCAGAGGAAUAACUUGGAAACAGGUUAGUCAGCAAUGACCUCUGUGUAGGUGCUGCAUGGUUGUCGUCAGCUCGUGCCGUGAGGUGUCGGCUUAAGUGCCAUAACGAGCGCAACCCUUGUCAUUAGUUACUAACAGGUUAAGCUGAGGACUCUAAUGAGACUGCCACCGUAAGGUGUGAGGAAGGUGGGGAUGACGUCAAAUCAGCACGGCCCUUACGUCCGGGGCGACACACGUGUUACAAUGGGGGGUACAGAAAGCAGCUACUUGGCGACAAGAUGCUAAUCUCCAAAACCUCUCUCAGUUCGGAUCGGAGUCUGCAACUCGACUCCGUGAAGCUGGAUUCGCUAGUAAUCGCGCAUCAGCCAUGGCGCGGUGAAUACGUUCCCGGGCCUUGUACACACCGCCCGU